AUUGUCUACGAACAUUUUGGUACAUUCAUGACGGUUUCGUUAAAAUAUAUUCCGAACGAAAUGAAAAAACAGACUAAAAUCCGUGCGAAACACGGGGAAAACUGCGUGACAGAACACGUCGCGAAUUACAAGCGCGUCGAUAUUCCCAGUGAAAAUCUCUUGCGCGCGGAUGUGUACGCGCGUGUGUAGCUCAACUCUCGUCUCCCAGCACUUCUGACGACAAUAAAACGUCCGUAAUGUCUUACGCGUCAAAAUCAUGCGAAAAUGCGCGAACGUUUUGUGACGUUUCAAUUCGAGCGAGGAAUUUUCCCGAUUAAAAAAAAAAACACACACACACCGUGGCCCGAAAAUCUGACAACCUUGGUGUCGUGGUGGGUUAUUCGGGUUUUUUCCUCCCCUUAUAAUAAUUUCUUUAGCCUCGAGCUACACGAUGAUAACUCGACUUUAAGGAUAAAAAAUUGUUUUUUCACAAAAUCCUGGACAGCCAUUUCGGAAACACGUAUUGCAACGAAAUGUUACGGCGUUACGUACCAAUAUAACGGCGGACCGUCGAAUUUCCAUCGCUUUGCGAAGUUUACAAAAAGAACUAUAAAGUAAUUAUUAUUCUUCGCGGAAAAAUUUGCGAACCGAUUAAUAUCAUUUUAAUAGAGUGGCGGUGAAAUAAAUUUUGACUGU